UCAAAGUUUUGUACGAUCCGUAGACAGAUUUUUAUCUUAUUUGUUAAAAAAGAAAAAGUGCGAUUUGGGCCUCCAGAAUAUUUAAAUGGUACGUUAUGGUACGUAAUCUCCAAAAAUGGUUCGUAAAAUCCAGGUACGUUUCCUCCAUGACCACGAAACCAUUAGUAUUUGUUGACAUAAAAAUAAUAAACUCGCCAAAAACUACGUUUUCGUUCUUCCCUAACUCUAAUUAUGUUAAUGAUAAGAAACAAUGCUUACCUUCGGCCUUCCUCAUCAUAAAAACUCCUUUUGAAGUUUAUUAUAUAUCCGACACAAAAGCUUUUUUUCUACCAUCUACCGAGAAUGCCCUGUCCUGCUAAUAAUGUGGCAAUGGCACUUAAUGACGCAAAAAAGUGGACGACUUCAUUUUUCGCGCACUUGAAGGGGUGUUCGGUCUAAUUACAAUAUGUUUACAAACGUUUAAAUGAUAUUUCUUAUAAAUCAACAUUUCAAUUAUUCAUAACCGAUAGAUAAGAUAAUUUAAUUCUUCUAUAAAAGAAUAGUACUGUCACGAAAAUUGUGUCUUGCAUACCGAGUACCUGACUCCCCCGUGUAAGCGUAUCGGCUUGACCGUCGCCGCCGAAACUCUUUGAACUGCCUGUGUAGUUUAAUUACACGCAAAGCUGCGGUUAAACUGGUAAAAUAGACGCGAUGGUUAGAAUCGCUGUCAUUUAUACAUGCGGGUUGUUUCUUCAAGACUUGGGUCUAAUCCAGUAAACUACUUGUAAGCAAGAUAAACAGGUACAGAAUGUGAACGAGAAGACUGGUGAUGAUUACAAGACAACAAAAGAAAAUAUGUUGUUGUUGUUAAGAAGAUUUUUUCCUGUUCCUCGCAGAAGGGCAGAAACAUACUUGGAUGGAAAAUGUGCAUAAACUUUGCAUAAGUUUUGUUGAAACUUCAAUUGAUAAUGAAGAAUGCUGCAAAAUAUUGUUUGUUACAAUAUUUGAAUGACUGUAAGAGAUGUUGAGUGAUUGGUAUUCACACAGGUGCUGUGUUAGUGCAAAACAAUGCAAGCAUAUGUUGAAUGAACACACAAGAUUGUGCCAUACCAUAAGGGAGCAGUAUGUUCCGGAUAUUCUAUUUGUAUAAACCCAACACAACUACAAUGUAAUGUGGAUAUAUACUAGAAUCAGAUUGUCUGUCUGUCUGUUUGUCUACCCAUUGGAGAUACUGAAUUAACUUGUUAGAUAGAUCAUGUAUGUUAUUGUUGUGGAAAGUAGUUCCGAGCAACUAUAUCUCUAUUGCCUGUUGCAAUUUGAAAAGAAGAUUUUGUUUAAUAGAUGAAACUGGCUAGGUGUUACUAUUUCAGCAUUAGUAUGAUGUUAGAUCAUAUAUUACAUGUACAUCAAUUUUUAUAUGCCCAUUUGAAAAACAAGACAUACAAUGGGAACCUGGUUGGCAGGCAGUGUCAUAUUUUGUAAGCAUUGUAUUUUGGACGUCACAAACCAAAAUCAAGGAGUAAAUGACUCCCAAACUUCCACUAAAAGAAGCCCUGCCCAUGCAGGGAUUUUAAUGAAACUUCAUAGAAAUUCUCACCAGAUGAAAGGUCAAGGUCACACUUAGAAAACAUUGAUAAAUGCUUAUUAGGAGCAAAAACGUGCGUCAAUAUCACU